rnacentral:rRNA from 1 species
AUCCUGGCUCAGGACGAACGCUGGCGGCGUGCUUAACACAUGCAAGUCGAACGGAAAGGCCCUGCUUUUGUGGGGUGCUCGAGUGGCGAACGGGUGAGUAACACGUGAGUAACCUGCCCUUGACUUUGGGAUAACUUCAGGAAACUGGGGCUAAUACCGGAUAGGAGCUCCUGCUGCAUGGUGGGGGUUGGAAAGUUUCGGCGGUUGGGGAUGGACUCGCGGCUUAUCAGCUUGUUGGUGGGGUAGUGGCUUACCAAGGCUUUGACGGGUAGCCGGCCUGAGAGGGUGACCGGCCACAUUGGGACUGAGAUACGGCCCAGACUCCUACGGGAGGCAGCAGUGGGGAAUAUUGCACAAUGGGCGGAAGCCUGAUGCAGCAACGCCGCGUGCGGGAUGACGGCCUUCGGGUUGUAAACCGCUUUCGCCUGUGACGAAGCGUGAGUGACGGUAAUGGGUAAAGAAGCACCGGCUAACUACGUGCCAGCAGCCGCGGUGAUACGUAGGGUGCGAGCGUUGUCCGGAUUUAUUGGGCGUAAAGGGCUCGUAGGUGGUUGAUCGCGUCGGAAGUGUAAUCUUGGGGCUUAACCCUGAGCGUGCUUUCGAUACGGGUUGACUUGAGGAAGGUAGGGGAGAAUGGAAUUCCUGGUGGAGCGGUGGAAUGCGCAGAUAUCAGGAGGAACACCAGUGGCGAAGGCGGUUCUCUGGGCCUUUCCUGACGCUGAGGAGCGAAAGCGUGGGGAGCGAACAGGCUUAGAUACCCUGGUAGUCCACGCUGUAAACGGUGGGUACUAGGUGUGGGGUCCAUUCCACGGGUUCCGUGCCGUAGCUAACGCUUUAAGUACCCCGCCUGGGGAGUACGGCCGCAAGGCUAAAACUCAAAGGAAUUGACGGGGCCCCGCACAAGCGGCGGAGCAUGCGGAUUAAUUCGAUGCAACGCGUAGAACCUUACCUGGGUUUGACAUGGAUCGGGAGUGCUCAGAGAUGGGUGUGCCUCUUUUGGGGUCGGUUCACAGGUGGUGCAUGGCUGUCGUCAGCUCGUGUCGUGAGAUGUUGGGUUAAGUCCCGCAACGAGCGCAACCCUUGUUCACUGUUGCCAGCACGUUAUGGUGGGGACUCAGUGGAGACCGCCGGGGUCAACUCGGAGGAAGGUGGGGAUGACGUCAAGUCAUCAUGCCCCUUAUGUCCAGGGCUUCACGCAUGCUACAAUGGCUGGUACAGAGAGUGGCGAGCCUGUGAGGGUGAGCGAAUCUCGGAAAGCCGGUCUCAGUUCGGAUUGGGGUCUGCAACUCGACCUCAUGAAGUCGGAGUCGCUAGUAAUCGCAGAUCAGCAACGCUGCGGUGAAUACGUUCCCGGGGCUUGUACACACCGCCCGUCAAGUCAUGAAAGUUGGUAACACCCGAAGCCGGUGGCCUAACCGUUGUGGGGGAGCCGUCGAAGGUGGGACUGGUGAUUAGGACUAAGUCGUAACAAGGUAGCCGUACCGGAAGGUGCGGCUG